rnacentral:rRNA from 1 species
GAUGAACGCUGACAGAAUGCUUAACACAUGCAAGUCGAUUCGAUUUACCUUCGGGUAUUGAGGAUGGCGGACGGGUGAGUAACGCGUAAGGAACUUGCCUCUUGGUCUGGGACAACUGUUGGAAACGACAGCUAAUACCGGAUAUUAUGAGAUUCUCGCAUGGGAAACUUAUGAAAGCUAUAUGCGCCAAGAGAGAGCCUUGCGUUCCAUUAGCUAGUUGGUGGGGUAACGGCCCACCAAGGCGACGAUGGAUAGCCGGCCUGAGAGGGUGAACGGCCACAAGGGGACUGAGACACGGCCCUUACUCCUACGGGAGGCAGCAGUGGGGAAUAUUGGACAAUGGGCCACAAGCCUGAUCCAGCAAUUCUGUGUGCACGAUGAAGGUCUUCGGAUUGUAAAGUGCUUUCAGUUGGGAAGAAGAAAGUGACGGUACCAACAGAAGAAGCGACGGCUAAAUACGUGCCAGCAGCCGCGGUAAUACGUAUGUCGCAAGCGUUAUCCGGAUUUAUUGGGCGUAAAGCGCGUCUAGGCGGAAAAAUAAGUCUGAUGUUAAAAUGCGGGGCUCAACUCCGUAUUGCGUUGGAAACUGUUUUUCUAGAGUACUGGAGAGGUGGGCGGAACUACAAGUGUAGAGGUGAAAUUCGUAGAUAUUUGUAGNAAUGCCGAUGGAGAAGUCAGCUCACUGGACAGAUACUGACGCUAAAGCGCGANA